CAUAAACCUCCAAAUACUGUAUGUGUGCACCUGCUCUACCCACUGACCCAACUCAGCCACGCAGAGCAGAUUUUUAUCCCAUCCCGGAAUGCUUUGUGGACUAGCCAGACCCUCCUCUGCAGCGCUGUGUAGGAAGGUCUGGCAAAGUGAGACUAGACUACCACUGUCUAAUACCCAAAUAAGGAAACAGUCUGUACCUUAUUUUCCGUUUCACUAAAGCCUCGACUCAUCACAGCUGUGCUGGUGUCACCUGAGCACGGAGUCUUUGAUGGGUUACAGCAGCCAGUCCUCUGAGCCCUACAAGAUAGGACAAUGUUUGAAGCUCAAGGCUGUAGACAUAAAACCGCUGAGUAGCAGAUCCCAGAGAGUUGGAGCUGUGGCAGAGCAAGGGAGCAAGAUCUCUCUCCUGUGGCUGAUUCACAGUGAUGAUGCUCCUCAGACCUGUGUCAUCCAGAGGCUCGUAGCUGAUGGCAAACCUGUCUGAGUGAUUGACAGUGUCUCCUCACUGCCACCCAGGCCGGGGGUCCAUGUCAGAUUGGGAGGAUGAGACAGACAGGGAGCUGGAGCAGAGCACGACAAACUCACUGAGUCUCCCUCCUUCACCUUCAGUGUGGACGGAGUCAGAGUCGGACUGGGAGGAUCAGCUGGUGGGAAGGUCUGUGUUGCAGUUAGAUGAAAGAUGUCAUGUUGAAGUUCCUUCGAAGUGAGGUUGCAUUUUCAGAGCUUGUAGGAAUUAUUUUGAAAAUGAGGAAGUUGCUGAAGAGUAGGUAAGUGAGUGAUAUUUACAGCAUAUUUACCACCAUAUUUACCUAAUACGAUAAUGUCAAAAUGUGUCUUCUAACAAUAGUGUUUUUUAAGUUAUGAAAAAAAACCUGGUGGUCAAUAGAAGUAAACAUUCUAGGCAAUGCUGGUGAAAGUCUGAAAAUAAGAGGUUUGGUGAUCUCUCUUGAUGUACCAUGUCACAAAACAGACUCAAUCUGCCUUUUACUUCAUGAUAACCCUUUCCUUUACCACAAACUAGGUUUGCACAUUUGAUAAAGGUGACGAAAUACAGUAAUGGCCAUAAGUCAAAUAACAUUUAAAACAUGAAAUGUUUUAAAUGUUAUCUGGGCUUUGUAUAAACAAAUAAAUAUUGCAUUUGUUUGUCAAAAUGUAUGAUAUAUCUUAUAUAGUCACUGUAUGCUACAUAGUGAGAGGUACUGUAUGUUCUAUAUUAAGAGAAAUCUAAAUACACAUAUUGGGUAUUUGGUGUAGUGCUGUGUACAAAGUACUCUCAACACAGAUCUCAGAUAUAGAAAAGAUAGAACAUCUGUUGUACUUAAUCAUGUUCAACAGCUUGACAUCAGAAUUGAUGCGUCAUUUUCUUUAUGGGUCAUUAUCUUGAGUCCUGAGCAGUCCACAGCUCCAAAACUCCCUUCUGGGCCAAAAUUAUAAUUGAACCAAUAACAAACAAACAAUGAGCGAGUAGAAGAAUUGUGCUGCUGUACAGUAGAAAUUGUGCCUAACAAUUCACGUCAAGGCUUGUAGCCAGAAGCAGCU